UGAUCAGAAAAGACUAUUGAGGACUAACCCUUUAGCGUGUGAGACAGUAGAAGCUGUCUGGCUUGACUUGUGAGUUUGACAGAGGAGUAAGUUAGUUUACCUGAGGACAUUAUGAAACAUGAUGAGACUUGCAGCAGCGAAAUAUAAGCCUCAGCUCUGGCCUCCAAUUAUGGAUGUAGAGGAACUGUGUUUUGGAGCUCAACACUAACCACAGAACUUGAACACUCUGGGUUUAUGUGCUCUUGGCUAGGCUACAGGAUUUCAGCUUCUCAUUAGCAGUUGCAAAGCUUAAGGGAAGAAACAGAAAUAUGCAGCAAUACAAGUAUGGGUAUGAUACCAUCAUUAGUGAAGGCUCACAUGGCAAGGCUUGCUCUUUCAGUGACCCCAGAAAAGGUAUUACCAUCACAGCUUGCUGGUGGAACUGUCAGCAAAAGAGAAUAAGAAUUAAUUUGUGCCUGAUAUUUGUAGUGCCGGGUCACUGAGAUUCAUGAACAAGUCACACAGAAAGCAGCUUCCAUAGUAGAAGAUAAAGCAUGCUAAUUUCCUAACUCUGAAAAGCCAUGGGUUUUAUUAUCUUUUGGCUCAGACCUGUACUAGGGGAGAUACCUUGAAAUAGAAGUAAAAAAUCAGCUAAGGAUCUGAGUAUCAUGUGACAUCUCUUUUCAGCAGCUGCCAGAGGGUGGGGAGGCUCCCAUAUUAGCAAUCACAUGAAAAUUACAAUAUUCAAUGGCAGCACCCACAGAAUGUCCAUCUCCCUGUAGAAACUGGUUUUGCCGCUACAAGCACGUUCAUGUUGAGAUCAUCAUCUACUCAACAGUUCUUGAUUCCUUGCACUUCAGAGGAUGUGCCUUAUCUGUUUUGAAGGUGGAUGGCAGAGAAUAUGAACACUGACUUUAUGUACAAGUAAUUUAAAAUAAUAUAGCACGUUUAUUUUAAACUGUAACGCCAAUAGGUUUUAUGUGCACUAUGUUACACCAGAGUUACUCUAUCCACCCCUUCUGGAGUUAGGAGAAGCAAUAUUAUAGAAGAUAAAAUUAAAUUCUUCUUGUGACAGAAAUACGUAUUUUAGAACAGCUGUUAUUCAGGACUAGCCAUAGCUUUCAGACCUCUCCAGAUCUAGUUAUUUCAAUGAGAACAACAGUCCCCAUGUCUUCUUUCUGGGUACAACCAUGUUUUAAAGGUGUUUUCACCCUAUGGUUCCAGCCAUCAUUGUUCUUCCACCUUCAUUCUGCCUGACCACUUCCAAGCAACUUGUUUGGAAGGGAGCUAUGAUUUUUUUGAUGGCACAGUGACCCAGAUAAACUUACUUACUACUUAUGCAUUUGGAGGGCAGCAGUCACAGAAGAAGGACAAAAUAGUAAAAGGCCAGCAAGCAAAUUAUUCUAUUAAGUAUUUAGCAUCUUCCUUCACACUGAAGCAGGCCCCACUUAUUCAAAUGUCACCAUUCACGGAGAAGCAAAAUUUCAGCUCUUGCCUCUCCAGAUCUACAGAUCUUCAAAAAAUUCCAUUCAGAACUGCAUAUCCUGGAGCACUGUUCCCCUGGACACCUGUGGUGCUUGAUCAGAAGCAUUUGACACCUGUUCUGCAGUCAGUUUUCUGAGAUCUGUGACUUUUUCAUCUAGGUAUAUGAAGGUACAAUUAUUAGAUUUAACUCUUAGCACUUUGCAAGCAAAGCAGUAGCCAUCAAAUAGACAAGAAAGCCAGAAAACAAUCACUGACAGCACCCAGAUGCUUCACAGGGAAGCUGUAGCUAAGUUUAUUAUUACCUCUUGCAUUACCUUUAAGAUUUUGCCUGGAGGGCUGUGCUGAAAUCAGGCUUCCAACCUGCAAGGGAAUUUACAACUACUUGCUAAGUCACCCUCCCUGCCCUGAAGCCUUUUUAUUCUAAAAAGGGACUCUUUUCAUUUUAUAGAAGGAAAGAUGAUGCAUAAACCAAAUCCAGAGUUAGAUUUUGCAGCAGAGUGACACUGACAUGCCUGAUGUCUUGCAGAGCAUCCAUGAGACAAUCAGAAAUGUUUUUUGGGAACGCUGUGAGUUUGAGCCCUGUACCUUUCUUACCCAGCCUCCUUUACAGACCAGGAAGGCAUGGAGUAGUGAGUGACUGACAUUAUUAAGUCAUCCUUGUCAGUGAGGGCACUUAUGAAAAACACAUCUGGUUUUGAAAAACACAAAAUUGCAGAU